GUCUUGGUUGAAUGUGUGCCUUUGGAUUUUAUGGAAUAGUUAUCUCGCAGGGAAUAUCCUGUUGGUUUGCCUUUAGGGGCUGCAAAACAUAUGUUGUUAGACCAUUGUUUAUGGAAAUUCUAGAGGUCGUUAAGAUUUAACUUGUUUGUUCAGCACUGAAAAGUUGUUUGGGGAUCGUUGCAGGUUUGAUAAUUGAGGGUUCAUGAUCUGGACGAAUAAUGCAGGACAUAUAACCUUGUGAGGGCAAUUUGAAAGUAUUUUAAGAUGGGUCAAGUAGAUGUUAGCCAAGAUUCUUCCGAUUCUACAAAAAACUCAAAAGACGCAUUCUUCGAUCCAAAACCUAAGCCUAAAAUGAUAAGAGUACUGACUGUGUUAGUUUAUGUUCUAAGUGUAUCCAUGGCUGCAAUAUUUCUAUCUAUUUACUAUAUAUUUAUGUGGCAUGGAGAACCACAUUUAGGAGCCCACAAGAAUAUACCAAACAGUUAUAUUAGGUCACAAAACGAAAGCUUAAAAAUAAUAGAAGCUAUUGAAAAUGGAGCCAAUAAAACGUUUUUUUCUGAUUUCAAUCAAGAAGAAGAAAAAACAAUGAUAGUUACCCAUCCAAGUUCAAAUGAAGAAUCAAUUAAGUUUACGGUCUGAAUUUUGAUGGAAAUUUCAUUUUUCAAUUUUUUAAACGUUUUGGCUGGAAGCCUUUAUCAAGAGAGGAAAUUAGGGUAGUCAUUCGUUCUUUUCUUUGAGUGGGGAUCAUAUUCCGUGGUCUCAAUCUGGCUACUCCACGUAAUCACCCCUUUUGGUUGAUUCCAAGUUGACUAAAAACCAGUAGUUAAAGUGUUGAUAUUCUCGACGCUUUUAUUUUCUCGGCAGAAUUCCAAAAAGUAGGCAGAUUGGGGCUAUGGAAUCGGAUCAUUUCUUAAAACAAUGAACGAAAAACCACCUCCCUUAAUAAUCGCUUCAAAACUGAAACCACUUAUCAUACUUAUAUGUAAUAAAAUAGUAAAUUGGUUCAAGGUUAGUUUUUUGUGAAUGGGCUCAACCACAAAUACCAUAGAUUUUUUUUAUUUUGUGGUUUUUGGCGAAAAGUGCUCUUGUCACAAAAAUAAAACGGCGAACAGGCACAAUUCGUACAUUUUUAAAGCUCAUGCCAAAGCACAUGGUAUAUAAGUGUUUGAAGUGUUAUUGUUGAAAUAGGCUGUAAUCCUUUGACCGUCGUAGGAAAAUGAAUUAUAAAAUAAGAGAAACUUGCAAUGGAUUGACAUACUAAUGCUUAGAAUGUAGCGUAUUAAUGUGAUAAUUGAAUACAAGCUUAUGUAUUGUUUCUAUUAUAUUUCGAAGCUUUCGAAUAUCUAUGUAUUCAAGGGGGAAUUAAUUAGUUGAGAAUGGUGGACUUUUAAAUUUUGUUUCUUUUAAAAAUCAUUGAAAUCAUAGAAAGCUUAUUGUUUCUAUCAAGCGUCAAUUUGAAUAUUGAUUUAAUUCGAUGAAUUUGAUGAUUUUUAAAUUACAAUGACACAUUAUACCCUUAUAAAAAUGGUUACCUUA